rnacentral:rRNA from 1 species
GGGUACUCGAGCGGCGAACGGGUGAGUAACACGUGAGUAAUCUGCCCUGCGCUCUGGGAUAGCCACCGGAAACGGUGAUUAAUACCGGAUAGGACCACUUCACGCAUGUGAUGGUGGUGGAAAGUUUUUUCGGCGCAGGAUGUGCUCGCGGCCUAUCAGCUUGUUGGUGAGGUAACGGCUCACCAAGGCUUUGACGGGUAACCGGCCUGAGAGGGUGACCGGUCACACUGGGACUGAGACACGGCCCAGACUCCUACGGGAGGCAGCAGUGGGGAAUAUUGGACAAUGGGCGGAAGCCUGAUCCAGCAACGCCGCGUGAGGGAUGACGGCCUUCGGGUUGUAAACCUCUUUCAGUACCGACGAAGCGCAAGUGACGGUAGGUACAGAAGAAGGACCGGCCAACUACGUGCCAGCAGCCGCGGUAAUACGUAGGGUCCGAGCGUUGUCCGGAAUUAUUGGGCGUAAAGGGCUCGUAGGCGGUUUGUCGCGUCGGGAGUGAAAACACCGGGCUUAACUCGGUGCUUGCUUUCGAUACGGGCAGACUAGAGGUAUGCAGGGGAGAAUGGAAUUCCUGGUGUAGCGGUGAAAUGCGCAGAUAUCAGGAGGAACACCGGUGG